rnacentral:rRNA from 1 species
AGCUCCAAUAGCGUAUAUUAAAGUUGUUGCGGUUAAAAAGCUCGUAGUUGGAUUUCUGCCGAGAACGACCGGUCCGCCCUGCGGGUGAGUAUCUGGGACGAUCUGGGCAUCUUCUUGGAGAACGUGUCUGCACUUGACUGUGUGGUGCGGUAUCCAAGACUUUUACUUUGAGGAAAUUAGAGUGUUUCAAGCAGGCCCACGCCUUGAAUACAUUAGCAUGGAAUAAUAAGAUAGGACUUCGGUUCUAUUUUGUUGGUUUCUAGAGCUGAAG